rnacentral:miRNA from 1 species
UGUGUGUGUGUGUGUGUGUGCGCGCACACACACACACACACACACACG